GGGUUGGUGGUGUAGUGGAAACGCAUGUCGUGGCUACAGUCGCGCCCACGGCAAGUCCCAGGUUCAAGUCCUGGCCAACCUG